UUGGGUCCGCGUUGCCCAAGGGUUUCUCUGGCCCGGGCUGGAGAAGAGGCUGGGACCCUGCCACGGCCCGUUGGGGUCUCGGGUCCCGCUGGUCCAUUUCCCUCGGACUUUUCCUUUUGGGGGUUAGAUCAGAGGGCCCUCCUUGGUGCCCGCUCUGUUCUUCAGCCCUGGGGAAAUUUGGACUGAGGAUCUGCAGUCGCCACCUUCUCUCUGGUGCUCACUAUCAGGCAUCAUGAUCCCUUCUCCUCCACUGUACAGAUGAGAACAUUGAGGCCCAAAUGAUUUUCACUUGCCCAGGCCACACUUUGCUGAGCCCGAUUCCUUGCCUUUGAAGCAGAGAUAAUAAUAGUUUGCACCUUGAGAAUUCCUGAGGAUUGAGACAAUGAAUGGGAAGGCUCCAGCAUGGUGCCUGCUGCUACAAAACUUACCAUGAAAACCUUGAAAAUUGGUACCAACAAGGACUUGUGGGAUCUUUUGCCUGCUUAAAGUCGACUACUCAGAAAAAUCUCUCAACCAUGGUGAAAAAUGAUGGAAAUCUGGUUUGUGCGAAUCUUCCAGAACAGAAGAGAAAUGCAGCCUGAGCCACAUACAUAAUUUUACAUGGAAAAUGUCCCAGUACCUUCGUUAAAACAAAAAGAAACUUGUAAAAUUAAUUGUAAGGUUAUAUCUUGUUUGGCCCAAUUUGUCCAAUAGAAAAUAUAUUCAUGAAAAUAAAAGUGACCACUGAGAUAUUCUACCUCCUUCUGAUAUGGUUCUACCAUUCUGAUAUAUGGUUCUCAGCUACAGACCAGCCGUUUAGGGGCUCAUUUCAAGUGCUGGGUGGCCACAUGUGGCUAGUGGCUAAGAUAUUGGAGAAAGGGGCUGAGCUCUGGAAUCUAGGGGAGACCCCCAUUACAGGCAGUUUGAGGAAAGGAUGUUUCUAUUGUACUAAGAACAAAGUAUUGCCAGCCAGACCUUUUUUAAAAAAAAUUUUUUUUUUUUUUUUUUAAAUUUCUUUGGCUGUGUUGUGUCUUAGUUGGAGCACUGGGGCUCAAUUAAUGCCCCGAGGCAUGAGGGACCCUGGCUCCCCAACCAGGGAUCAAACACGUGUCCCCUGCAUUGGAAGGCUGAUACUCCCAGGGAAGUCCCUAGCCAGACUUUUAAAUAAAUCCCCAGCCCCACCCCCAUUCGGGCAGAACCCCCAUUAGCAUCUCUGGGUUAAACAGUGGGGGCGAUGCUCUGCCCAUCUCCUGGUCCUGCCCGCCCCGCCUUCCUCUGACCAAGCCUUCCCUCUCCCC